ACGGCGAGUGAAGCGGCAAAAGCUCAAAUUUGAAAUCUGGUACCUUCGGUGCCCGAGUUGUAAUUUGGAGAGGGCAACUUUGGGGCCGUUCCUUGUCUAUGUUCCUUGGAACAGGACGUCAUAGAGGGUGAGAAUCCCGUGUGGCGAGGAGUGCGGUUCUUUGUAAAGUGCCUUCGAAGAGUCGAGUUGUUUGGGAAUGCAGCUCUAAGUGGGUGGUAAAUUCCAUCUAAAGCUAAAUAUUGGCGAGAGACCGAUAGCGAACAAGUACAGUGAUGGAAAGAUGAAAAGAACUUUGAAAAGAGAGUGAAAAAGUACGUGAAAUUGUUGAAAGGGAAGGGCAUUUGAUCAGACAUGGUGUUUUGUGCCCUCUGCUCCUUGUGGGUAGGGGAAUCUCGCAUUUCACUGGGCCAGCAUCAGUUUUGGUGGCAGGAUAAAUCCAUAGGAAUGUAGCUUGCCUCGGUAAGUAUUAUAGCCUGUGGGAAUACUGCCAGCUGGGACUGAGGACUGCGACGUAAGUCAAGGAUGCUGGCAUAAUGGUUAUAUGCCGCCCGUCUUGAAACACGGAC
rnacentral:rRNA from 1 species